rnacentral:rRNA from 1 species
UGGGGAAUAUUGCACAAUGGGGGAAACCCUGAUGCAGCGACGCCGCGUGAGCGAAGAAGUAUUUCGGUAUGUAAAGCUCUAUCAGCAGGGAAGAAAAUGACGGUACCUGACUAAGAAGCCCCGGCUAACUACGUGCCAGCAGCCGCGGUAAUACGUAGGGGGCAAGCGUUAUCCGGAUUUACUGGGUGUAAAGGGAGCGCAGGCGGUCCUGCAAGUCUGAUGUGAAAGCCCGGGGCUCAACCCCGGGACUGCAUUGGAAACUGUGGGACUUGAGUGUCGGAGGGGCAAGUGGAAUUCCUAGUGUAGCGGUGAAAUGCGUAGAUAUUAGGAGGAACACCAGUGGCGAAGGCGGCUUGCUGGACGACAACUGACGCUGAGGCUCGAAAGCGUGGGGAGCAAACAGG